GUAGGGAAUCUUCCACAAUGGACGAAAGUCUGAUGGAGCAACGCCGCGUGAGUGAAGAAGGUCUUCGGAUCGUAAAACUCUGUUGUUAGAGAAGAACGUGCAUGAUAGUAACUGAUCAUGUAAUGACGGUAUCUAACCAGAAAGCCACGGCUAACUACGUGCCAGCAGCCGCGGUAAUACGUAGGUGGCAAGCGUUGUCCGGAUUUAUUGGGCGUAAAGGGAACGCAGGCGGUUUUUUAAGUCUGAUGUGAAAGCCUUCGGCUUAACCGAAGAAUAGCAUUGGAAACUGGAAGACUUGAGUGCAGAAGAGGAGGGUGGAAUUCCAUGUGUAGCGGUGAAAUGCGUAGAUAUAUGGAGGAACACCAGUGGCGAAAGCGGCUCUCUGGUCUGUAACUGACGCUGAGGUUCGAAAGCGUGGGUAGCAAACAGGAUUAGAAACCCGAGUAGUCC
rnacentral:rRNA from 1 species